rnacentral:rRNA from 1 species
UACGAAGGGGGCUAGCGUUGCUCGGAAUCACUGGGCGUAAAGGGUGCGUAGGCGGGUCUUUAAGUCAGGGGUGAAAUCCCAAGGCUCAACCUUGGAACUGCCUUUGAUACUGGGGAUCUCGAGUCCGGAAGAGGUUGGUGGAACUGCGAGUGUAGAGGUGAAAUUCGUAGAUAUUCGCAAGAACACCAGUGGCGAAGGCGGCCAACUGGUCCGGUACUGACGCUGAGGUGCGAAAGCGUGGGGAGCAAACAGG